rnacentral:rRNA from 1 species
UACGUAGGGUGCAAGCAUUAAUCGGAAUUAUUGGGCGUAAAGGGCGCGUAGGCGGAUUGAUAAGUCAGAUGUGAAAUACCAAACUCAACUUUGGUGCUGCAUUUGAAACUGUCUCUCUAGAGGAUUGACGGAGAAAGCGGAAUUCCACGUGUAGCGGUGAAAUGCGUAGAUACGUGGAGGAACACCGGUGGCGAAGGCGGCUUUCUAGUUUAUAACCUGACGCUGAGGCGCGAGAGCAAGGGGGAGCAAAACAGG